UCCGCGCCCGCCUGACAGCUGCUCGCUACGUUUUGUUAG
rnacentral:sRNA from 1 species